rnacentral:rRNA from 1 species
CUGGAGUUACUAGUAAUCGCAGAUCAGAAUGCUGCGGUGAAUGCGUUCCCGGGUCUUGUACACACCGCCCGUCACACCACGGGAGUUGGAGACGCCCGAAGCCGAUUAUCUAACCUUUUGGAAGAAGUCGUCGAAGGUGGAAUCAAUAACUGGGGUGAAGUCGUAACAAGGUAGCCGUAGCGGAAGGUGCGGCUGGAUCACCUCCUUUCUAAGGAGA